UCAGGAUGCGGUUAGGGUUAUUGGUUGUGAGAUGGGUUCCUUGUCGAUUUCUCAUUUGGGUGUUCCAAUUGGGUGUUGUAUGUCUUGUGUUUCUUCAUGGAUAAGUCUUUUCGAUCAUUUUCUACAUUGGCUUUUGGCUUGGAAAGCCAGAUUGGGUUAAUUGGGAGAGAGAGUCUUAGCAAGUAAAAAGGAAGGUGGGCUGUAGCGCUGUAAAAGAAUCGAACGAACACGGACGAUGGUUGUUCAUAUUUGUUCAUUUAAGUUAGCCAAACAAACGAACGAACAGAUAAACAAACAAAUUUUCUUGUUCAUGUUCGUUUAUUAAAAAAAUUACAUUGUUCAUGUUCGUUUGUUUAUGUUCGUGAACAUGCUAAACGAACAGAAAUAAACAAACAUAAUAAACAUAUAUAUGAACAUAAACAAACAUAUAAUAAAGUAAUGUAAUUAAACAUAACCGAACAUAUAUGAGUAUAAAAAGAACUUAACGAACGAACAUAAAUGAACAACAUAAAUGAAUUUUCAUAAACAGAAUUGAACGAACAAGACCAUUGUUCAUGUCCGUUCAUUUAACUAAAUGAAAGAGAAUUUGUGUUCAUGUUCGUACAUUUAUUAAAUAAACGCAUAAACGAACUUUUCGCCGAACGGUUCACAAACAAUUCACUGAACUUAGGAUUUGUUUACAGCCUAGUGGGUUGGGGGUUGGUAGUUUGUUUUCUUUCAAUACUUUUAAGAUCCACAUCUUGAAGUAGCCCAAACCUGUUUCAAAUGUUAUGUUAGAGAGUCCCCAAAUGAUCUAAGUGUGUGAAGUUUGUAAAAACUUGAGAAAUGUUCCAUUAGGUAUGCAUCUAAUUUUGGAAGAAAGAUUAUAAAAUGCUGGAUAAACAGAUAACAAUCAUAACAUAACCACAAAAGCUCAAAAUAAGUUUAUUUAGAUUGUUUCAACAACAUUGAACACAUGAACAUUUAGCCUAAGAACAUCUUGCCUAUUAAAUAUUUUUGAAGGAAGUCGAUAGCAUCGAAGCUAUAGUGCAACUAUAACAUAUACGAGCCUAGAGAGUGAAAUUAGGAUUUUAGGGUUCCGAUUGAUCUAUUUCGAUUAGGAAUUUAAGAAUCGGUUUUGGGGAAUUGGGGUUUCACAAGAUUAGGGCACUGCUUUAAAAUUUUAGAACCUAAUUAAUUGGUAAGGUCAAAAUGUUGAAAGAGUUUACCUCAUCUUUACGAAACCUAAAUCACACAACCCGACAGUCCAUGAGCAGGUUCUGACGGCAGCCAACUGCUCCGGCAACACCAUCAUCUCCGACAAUGCCUUCGUUUUCAAAACUAGUGAUUGUCUUCAGCUGAUCUGGACCAAACAACUAUCUCUAUAACUCAUUGUAUUGAGGUGGAAAGCUUAUUAACAACCUCUAAUUUGUUCCUAAAAUUUCAUCAUCGGCAGCCAAUUUGGAAGUUGAAUUUGACUUUCGCUGUGUGAGAAACCAUUUGUAGUUCACGUCGGACUCCAUCAGAGAUCUCACCGUCGUCCAUCGCCACGGCUGACUCCCCAGAGAAGCAUAAAGCUCAUUUUCACCUUUUUUUUUUCUGCAAGACAUCUUAUUUUUCCUUUCACUCUUCG
rnacentral:lncRNA from 1 species